UUAAGCGACUAAGCGUACACGGUGGAUGCCCUGGCAGUCAGAGGCGAUGAAGGACGUGCUAAUCUGCGAAAAGCGUCGGUAAGGUGAUAUGAACCGUUACAGCCGGCGAUGUCCGAAUGGGGAAACCCAGUGUGAUUCGUCACACUAUCGUUAACUGAAUACAUAGGUUAACGAGGCGAACCGGGGGAACUGAAACAUCUAAGUACCCCGAGGAAAAGAAAUCAACCGAGAUUCCCCCAGUAGCGGCGAGCGAACGGGGAGCAGCCCAGAGUCUGAAUCAGCUUGUGUGUUAGUGGAACGGUCUGGAAAGUCCGACGGUACAGGGUGAUAGUCCCGUACACCAAAAUGCACAGGUUGUGAACUCGAAGAGUAGGGCGGGACACGUGGUAUCCUGUCUGAAUAUGGGGGGACCAUCCUCCAAGGCUAAAUACUCCUGACUGACCGAUAGUGAACCAGUACCGUGAGGGAAAGGCGAAAAGAACCCCGGCGAGGGGAGUGAAAAAGAACCUGAAACCGUGUACGUACAAGCAGUGGGAGCACCUUCGGGUGUGACUGCGUACCUUUUGUAUAAUGGGUCAGCGACUUAUAUUCUGUAGCAAGGUUAACCGUAUAGGGGAGCCGCAGGGAAACCGAGUCUUAACUGGGCGUUAAGUUGCAGGGUAUAGACCCGAAACCCGGUGAUCUAGCCAUGGGCAGGUUGAAGGUUGGGUAACACUAACUGGAGGACCGAACCGACUAAUGUUGAAAAAUUAGCGGAUGACUUGUGGCUGGGGGUGAAAGGCCAAUCAAACCGGGAGAUAGCUGGUUCUCCCCGAAAGCUAUUUAGGUAGCGCCUCGUGAAUUCAUCUUCGGGGGUAGAGCACUGUUUCGGCUAGGGGGUCAUCCCGACUUACCAACCCGAUGCAAACUACGAAUACCGAAGAAUGUUAUCACGGGAGACACACGGCGGGUGCUAACGUCCGUCGUGAAGAGGGAAACAACCCAGACCGCCAGCUAAGGUCCCAAAGUCACAGUUAAGUGGGAAACGAUGUGGGAAGGCACAGACAGCCAGGAUGUUGGCUUAGAAGCAGCCAUCAUUUAAAGAAAGCGUAAUAGCUCACUGGUCGAGUCGGCCUGCGCGGAAGAUGUAACGGGGCUAAACUGUGCACCGAAGCUGCGGCAGCGACACUAUGUGUUGUUGGGUAGGGGAGCGUUCUGUAAGCCUGCGAAGGUGGCCUGUGAGGGUUGCUGGAGGUAUCAGAAGUGCGAAUGCUGACAUAAGUAACGAUAAUGCGGGUGAAAAGCCCGCACGCCGGAAGACCAAGGGUUCCUGUCCAACGUUAAUCGGGGCAGGGUGAGUCGACCCCUAAGGCGAGGCCGAAAGGCGUAGUCGAUGGGAAACAGGUUAAUAUUCCUGUACUUGGUGUUACUGCGAAGGGGGGACGGAGAAGGCUAUGUUAGCCGGGCGACGGUUGUCCCGGUUUAAGCAUGUAGGCGGAGGUUCCAGGUAAAUCCGGUACCUUUUAACGCUGAGGUGUGAUGACGAGGCACUACGGUGCUGAAGUAACAAAUGCCCUGCUUCCAGGAAAAGCCUCUAAGCAUCAGGUAACAUUAAAUCGUACCCCAAACCGACACAGGUGGUCAGGUAGAGAAUACCAAGGCGCUUGAGAGAACUCGGGUGAAGGAACUAGGCAAAAUGGUGCCGUAACUUCGGGAGAAGGCACGCUGAUAUGUAGGUGAAGCCCCUGCGGGUGGAGCUGAAAUCAGUCGAAGAUACCAGCUGGCUGCAACUGUUUAUUAAAAACACAGCACUGUGCAAACACGAAAGUGGACGUAUACGGUGUGACGCCUGCCCGGUGCCGGAAGGUUAAUUGAUGGGGUUAUCCGUAAGGAGAAGCUCUUGAUCGAAGCCCCGGUAAACGGCGGCCGUAACUAUAACGGUCCUAAGGUAGCGAAAUUCCUUGUCGGGUAAGUUCCGACCUGCACGAAUGGCGUAAUGAUGGCCAGGCUGUCUCCACCCGAGACUCAGUGAAAUUGAACUCGCUGUGAAGAUGCAGUGUACCCGCGGCAAGACGGAAAGACCCCGUGAACCUUUACUAUAGCUUGACACUGAACAUUGAGCCUUGAUGUGUAGGAUAGGUGGGAGGCUUUGAAGCGUGGACGCCAGUCUGCGUGGAGCCAACCUUGAAAUACCACCCUUUAAUGUUUGAUGUUCUAACGUUGGCCCCUGACCGGGGUUGCGGACAGUGUCUGGUGGGUAGUUUGACUGGGGCGGUCUCCUCCCAAAGAGUAACGGAGGAGCACGAAGGUUAGCUAAUCCUGGUCGGACAUCAGGAGGUUAGUGCAAUGGCAUAAGCUAGCUUGACUGCGAGCGUGACGGCGCGAGCAGGUGCGAAAGCAGGUCAUAGUGAUCCGGUGGUUCUGAAUGGAAGGGCCAUCGCUCAACGGAUAAAAGGUACUCCGGGGAUAACAGGCUGAUACCGCCCAAGAGUUCAUAUCGACGGCGGUGUUUGGCACCUCGAUGUCGGCUCAUCACAUCCUGGGGCUGAAGUAGGUCCCAAGGGUAUGGCUGUUCGCCAUUUAAAGUGGUACGCGAGCUGGGUUUAGAACGUCGUGAGACAGUUCGGUCCCUAUCUGCCGUGGGCGCUGGAGAAUUGAGGGGGGCUGCUCCUAGUACGAGAGGACCGGAGUGGACGCAUCACUGGUGUUCGGGUUGUCAUGCCAAUGGCAUUGCCCGGUAGCUAAAUGCGGAAGAGAUAAGUGCUGAAAGCAUCUAAGCACGAAACUUGCCCCGAGAUGAGUUCUCCCUGAGACUUUAAGUCUCCUGAAGGAACGUUAAAGACGAUGACGUUGAUAGGUCGGGUGUGUAAGCGUAGCGAUACGUUGAGCUAACCGAUACUAAUGAACCGUGAGGCUUAACCUU
rnacentral:rRNA from 2 species